rnacentral:rRNA from 1 species
UACGUAGGUGGCGAGCGUUGUCCGGAUUUACUGGGCGUAAAGAGCGCGCAGGCGGUCGUUCAAGUCGCGUGUGAAAGCCCCCGGCUCAACUGGGGAGGGUCACGCGAUACUGAUCGACUCGAAGGCAGGAGAGGGAAGUGGAAUUCCCGGUGUAGUGGUGAAAUGCGUAGAUAUCGGGAGGAACACCAGUGGCGAAGGCGACUUCCUGGCCUGUUCUUGACGCUGAGGCGCGAAAGCCAGGGGAGCGAACGGG